rnacentral:rRNA from 1 species
AGUCUGAUGUGAAAGCCCCCGGCUCAACCGGGGAGGGUCAUUGGAAACUGGGGAACUUGAGUGCAGAAGAGGAGAGUGGAAUUCCACGUGUAGCGGUGAAAUGCGUAGAGAUGUGGAGGAACACCAGUGGCGAAGGCGACUCUCUGGUCUGUAACUGACGCUGAGGAGCGAAAGCGUGGGGAGCGAACAGGAUUAGAUACCCUGGUAGUCCACGCCGUAAACGAUGAGUGCUAAGUGUUAGGGGGUUUCCGCCCCUUAGUGCUGCAGCUAACGCAUUAAGCACUCCGCCUGGGGAGUACGGUCGCAAGACUGAAACUCAAAGGAAUUGACGGGGGCCCGCACUAGCGGUGGAGCAUGUGGUUUAAUUCUAUUCAACGCGAAGAACCUUACCAG